rnacentral:lncRNA from 1 species
AGUUGGUCAUGUCCAGGAAGAAGGCGCAACCGGCAGGAUUGAGCUGGAAGCCGAGCAGCCUCUGGAACUCGGAGAUGAGCACGUCCUUGUCGGUGGUGCCCAGGCAGCUGAACUUCUGCAUCAGCUCCGGGUCCAGGUCUACGUCCAUGCCCUCCAUGGCGGGGACCGGACACCCGCUUCCCCGCCUCUUCACAACCAAGCCGCCGCCGCGCCGCCGGGCCCGGGGACCUGGAGGGGGGCCGCUGCUAGCUAGCUUCGCGACCCCGCUCCUUUGAGGUAGGCCCCGGGCCUCUCACAGUCUCAUAGGGGUAAACUCACUCUGCCACUCACUCACUCUCCCCCCCCUCCCACCCCCCCCAGCUCCGCCGCCUCCGCCGCCUCUCGCCUCUCGCCACUCCGCCGCCUCCGCCUCCUCCCGCGCCGCGCCCACUGCGCAAGCGUCGCCCGCCCAGGCCCCGCCCCUUCCUCUCCCGGACGCCCGCCUCUUAGUGUCGUCACAAACUCGUGACGUCCCCGCGUGACCUCACCGCUGCGGGGCGAUGGAGCGAAAAGUGAGGAAACUGAAGUCCCGGGAGAGACAGUGGCAAGGUCAAGUAGCAAAGUGCACUCAGCCCUCCCAGCAAGGAGUCUGCCACUCGCGCUUGAAGGACGUGUUUGAAGAGCUGCUUUCCCAGUGGGAUGCUGCCUUAAAGUCUUGAUUCCCUGGCACUCUUUCCUAUUACUACAUUUUAUCGGUGCUGUUUGUGUUAUGCAACGGUAGCAUCGUGUCUCCGGAAGAUAAAAAAGGUCUCGAUACAAACAUCCAUAACCUUCCACCCACUCCGUCAGGAACAACCCAAUCAAAAUAAAGUCAUGAGAAUUUAGCAUGCCUUGUUCUGUGUUUAAAAUAGAAGACAAAGUAUUUCUGUAUAUAUCGUACACCUUCCCGGUCAAGGUCUGUCAAAGAAUGAGAAAG